UCCGUAGGGUGCAAGCGUUAAUCGGAAUUACUGGGCGUAAAGCGUGCGCAGGCGGUUUUGUACGUCUGUCGUGAAAUCCCCGGGCUCAACCUGGGAAUGGCGAUGGAGACUGCAAGGCUAGAAUCUGGCAGAGGGGGGUAGAAUUCCACGUGUAGCAGUGAAAUGCGUAGAGAUGUGGAGGAACACCGAUGGCGAAGGCAGCCCCCUGGGUCAAGAUUGACGCUCAUGCACGAAAGCGUGGGGAGCAAACAGG
rnacentral:rRNA from 1 species